rnacentral:rRNA from 1 species
CCUACGGGUGGCUGCAGUGGGGAAUAUUGGACAAUGGGGGGAACCCUGAUCCAGCCAUGCCGCGUGUGUGAAGAAGGCCCUCGGGUUGUAAAGCACUUUCAGUGAGGAAGAACGCCUGGUGGUUAAUACCCAUCAGGAAAGACAUCACUCACAGAAGAAGCACCGGCUAACUCCGUGCCAGCAGCCGCGGUAAUACGGAGGGUGCGAGCGUUAAUCGGAAUUACUGGGCGUAAAGCGCGCGUAGGUGGCUUGAUAAGCCGGUUGUGAAAGCCCCGGGCUCAACCUGGGAACGGCAUCCGGAACUGUCAAGCUAGAGUGCAGGAGAGGAAGGUAGAAUUCCCGGUGUAGCGGUGAAAUGCGUAGAGAUCGGGAGGAAUACCAGUAGCGAAGGCGGCCUUCUGGACUGACACUGACACUGAGGUGCGAAAGCGUGGGUAGCAAACAGGAUUAGAUACCCGGGUAGUC